UUUUGGCUUGUGCUUCUGACCUAGUCCCUGGUUCUGACUCUAUUUCAAUUGUCUGUUAGUGCUGUAGCUUCUUCAGCUGGCCCUCAGGCCAUUACCAGCUUCUUUAAUUUUCAUUUAUGGACCACAUUUUUCAAAUACUUCACAUACUCUUGGAUGGAUUUCUUUGUUCUGUGACUAAUUUACUCACCUAAUGUUAAGACUUCUUGCCACUACUUAGAAAUCACAUUGCCAUGCCCCAUUGACUAAUCUUAGAUUGACAAGACUCUUCAAUGUCGAGCCUACAUUAGAUGAAUUUUUCUGCAUUAAUUCUGACUUGCAGUUUGAAUUGUUCCAACCCUUUGUGUCUGCUGAAUAUCCCCAACACCUAGCCUUAAGGGCCUCAUGUAACUUCCCUUUGAAUGAGGUGCUUUUAAGAAGCCUGGUGGCCAUGGCAGCAAAAAAUAUGAGUGGUCUCUGUCUAAACACUUAUAGCUGUGGCCCAUAGACUCCCAUACUGAUCAAUCAUGAAAUACAAUCUAUCCUAGAAAUUAAACACUACACAUACACAUCCCAGUUAAUUUGCUUAUUCUAAUGCUCGAAGUCAAUAACUCCAAUUUUGGGGUUACCCUGGAGGGAUCUUAUGUGGUAUAAACCCCCACUUUCUGGAGAUAUACUCCAAUGGACAAUUCCAGAGUUUGAGAAUUUAGCUUCCAGGGAAGUUCCUGGUUUGUAGAGGAAGCAGAAUGUCCUCUAGGGUUAUAAAACCUUUGGACUGAAGAAUACAUAUCACAGACCUCUGUUAAAUCAGAACGGACAAAUUUGAGAGGACAAUUAAGGGGCUGCUAAAGGAAUUUUUCCACCAUCUUGCUAAAGAUGAUAAUAGGCAAAAAGCCUUUGUAAGCAUAAUUAGUGUCCACCGAGUACUGUCUCAGCCCUUGCUCUAAAUUUGAAAUUUUACCUGUAUUCCCUUCUUUUUCUUAGGCACUGUCCUCAGUCAGACUAAUAUCCCUGUUCUCUUUGUUAUACCCCUGAUUUUAUCUCUCAUAAGUCCUGCUUAUUCUCUUUUGUGAGUACACUACACUUAGCCAUACAAGCUAAAACUGCUGUCUCCACCUCUGGUUGCCUGGCUCUCAACUUAAUCCACUGCUUCUGAUCCUGUAAUUGUAACACCUACGAGAGACCUUGGCUACACCCCUCACAUCAACUCUGACUUAGCCAAAGGACAUUAAAGGUAGCAGGGAUGUAUUAAUAGUCCUAGAUGUCUAUACUUGAAGAUAAUUUAACCUACACUAAGUAUAUUCAAUGGAAGAUAAAAUUUUGGCAAAUAGUUUAUUUUUAAACUAGAAUUUUGUUCAGAUGGUUCCUUAGUUCAAGUUUUUUUUUUUAAUUAAUAAUUCUCUUAGUCAACCAUAUUGUUUUACUACAGUAGAAGCCAUAGCUUUCAGGAUACGGAACAGUUCUAUGAGACUAGGUUCUGCAGAAAAAUCAAAUAUUUUGACUGUUUUUCAUAAAUAUGUAGAGAAUGUGAGGCUUAGACUUUAAAAAACAAAAUGUAGAUACGUUUUUAUAGCAAUCAGUAGAAAUUAAGAAUUCUCAACCCUUUUCACUCCUGUUCUCGUUGAAGAAAUUCUGCUAGGUUAGAAGUUCCGCCAUGAAUAAGAAGACAUUCGGAGCACUCAGAGGACUGACAUACUAGAUAAUUUUUUCCUUUGCUGUUUGGUCCAGGGUCCAUAGAAAAUUGAUGUCCUCUUCUCAGGUAACAUGCUUAUUUUUAUCUACAUGAAAUUCAUUGAUCUCUUUCCAAUUUGGUGUUAGCCUCUUCAUUCCACUAUCAUUCCCGAGGUAACAAAUGAUAUUUUCAUAGGCAUGGCUGGUAAUCAAUAUAGACAAGCUCUGCUCAUUGAUCUGAGGAAGACCUUUGAUCUGGAAAAUCACCAAUUAUGGCUAUUUAAAGUAGGUUCAAUCGGAUUAGGUAGAACAAAAAAGAACUGGUAUCUACAGUAUUCUUUGAUAGUUUUAAAACCUAGAAAGAUAUGAAGUUAACGAUAAGGUCUCUUAAAGAAUAAGGGUUAAUUUUCAUUCUUUCAAUUUUAAAUAAAGAAUUUCCUGCACAUUUCACUUUAUUUCUGAAUUUUUUAUGGCUAUAUAAUGCGAUACUGUUAUAAGGGACAUCCCAGGUACAAGGUAAUUGACGAUUUGCAGUGAGUUUCUGACAACCUUCAAAUCCUAAUUAAUAAAAAUAGAUUCCACUUAAAUAUUGAUAUGCUAAGCAUUAGUCUUAUUUUAACUGAAAAAGGUGGACUCCUGGUCCCAGCAAAUUAAGUCCUUAAUGAUAUGCAGGCUACCUGGUUGAUUGAUCUAUUCCAUUUUUGAGUGGAACUUGGAGUUACUAUUAUUUUCAGGCUAUGGCCAAAUCUGAAUUAGAAAUGAGAAGGUGGAUUGUUUCUUGCCUACAUGAGACUAAUUAUUCCCCAGAGUACAAUCUGUAUUACUUAAUGUACAAUGGUCUAUACUGCUUCUGAAGACCAUGAAUCAUGAAGAAUACCAAAAGAAAAAGGUAGAGAGACCAGCUGUGUUUUUCCCUAUAUCUCCUCUCUGCGUGCAGAAAGUCCUGAAUUCUGGCAGAUGAUCUAUCCUAAAAGCCAUUAACUUUGAAGUUUACAAUGCAGGUUAUGUAGUAGAGAGACCUGGAUUCUGAUCUUAACACAACUUAAUUUUCUGCCUAUGCAGCCUGAAAGAUUGUUUAAUCUCUUUUUCCCUAGUUUCCUUGUAUCUAAUAAUAGUACCCAUCUCACAGGUUUUGAAACUUGAAGAAACUGAUAUUUAAUAACAACGACAGUAUGUAAUCCUUAUAAUGCCUAUUUAUUCAGCAAUGACUAUGUGAUAAGUAAUGUUCUCAAUGCUUUAAAUUAUUUAAUCUUUUCGACAACCCUUUGAAUGACAUACUCUUUCUCUCUGCUUUUUACAUAGAAGGAAAUAACUGUAGAAAGAUUAUAAAGUUAUCUGACCAAAGUCAUAAACUAGUAAAUUGUCACAUGAGUACGAAAAUACAAAGAGUUUCAUCUCAGGACAUAUCUUCCUAAUCAUUACUAGAUGCAUACAAAAUAUUUAGGAUAGAAACUAGCACAUAGCACUAGCAUAAGUGUUAUUGAAUGUUAACAAAUAUAAAUAAAUAAAUCCCCCCAAAUUUCAGAAACUAUUCCAAACUUUAGAUUUAAAGAAAAAUAGUUUCACACCUAUCAUUAAAACAGUUUCUUAUGUCUGUAGAUUUAGAAUCCUACAGAAAAGUCCGGGGGCUCUUUCCUUUCACUGCUUACCAUGAGGGUCAAUUUGUAAGUCAGUUUCUUUGAUAUUCUUAACCACCCCCAUCCACCAUCCACCUCUUCCUUCUUGACUCUCUUCUCCCCUAAAUAUCUACUUUCUUUCUAAUCUUUGCCUUUCAGAGUUCAGAUAAUUUUUGAUAAAGUGCUGGGGACAUCGGUUUAUUUUUGCCCCCAAAAUUUAUU
rnacentral:lncRNA from 1 species